CCCCAGUAACGGCGAGUGAAGCGGGAAGAGCUCAAGCUUAAAAUCUCCAUACUUGUAUGGCGAAUUGUAGUCUAUUGAGGCUGUUGUCAGCAUCGCGAUCGGGGACAAGUCCCUUGGAAAAGGGCAGCAUGGAGGGUGAUACUCCCGUCUCUGCUCCGAUUUGCGGUGUGUACGAUACGCUUUCUUUGAGUCGAGUUGUUUGGGAAUACAGCUCAAAGUAGGUGGUAAAUUCCAUCUAAAGCUAAAUAUUGGUGCGAGACCGAUAGCGAACAAGUACCGUGAGGGAAAGAUGAAAAGAACUUUGAAAAGAGAGUUAAAGAGUACCUGAAACUGUUGAAAGGGAACCGUAUCGUUUCCAGUGUUUUAUCUUGUGCAUAUUUCAUUCGCGGAGUAAUUUGCGGGUGCCCUGUGCAUGAGUGUGACGUCAGAGUCAGUUUGUAUGCUGCGGGAGAUGGUCAGUGAGGAGGUGCGUCACUUCGGUGAAAGUUAUAUCUCGCUGUCUAGUAGCCGUGGUUGAGACUGAGGUGCCUACAACAUGCCUUGGGGUUUUGUGUUGUCUCGUGUUGGUGACUGCUUUGAUAGCUUGCUAUGUCUGUGGUUUAUUAAUGCGAUUGAUGAUGCGGAUAACCUCUGCUGUUCGGGACUCUGGCGAAAUGGAGCGAUACGACC
rnacentral:rRNA from 1 species